rnacentral:lncRNA from 1 species
AGGCAAGAAGGACUAUGGGGUCCCCGCCGGUGUUCCCGGGCAGGGCAGGCGGCGGCCCGGUGUUAUCUGUUCAACGUCCUGCCGGGGCCCAGGCCCCCGUUGUGGCUGGAGGGCGGGAAGGCCUCGGGCCUGUGCAGAGGCGGCGGGGACUGGGGCGCGGGGUGCGGGCCGGGCCGGCCGGGCGGCUGCUGCAGGUUCAGGAUGCUGUCGAUGGCGCUCUGCAGGUGCUCCGUGAGCGCGUCGUCCUGCGGGCUGUCGCUGGAGAAGCUGGCCUGGUCCAUGUCGGGUGACUCGGACUUGCGCCGCUUGGCAGGCGGCGCGGGGGCUGCGUCCCAACCGGGGUCGGGGUCCGGGGCGCUGGGGGCCGCGGGCUCGGGCGCUGCCGCCUUGCGCAGGCGCUGGUACAACUCGUCCUCCACCGCCGCCAGCUCGCGGAUGAGCCCGCUGGUGGCCUCUUCGGCGCGCCCGCCCACAUUCUCGCGCUUCAGGCCGAUGCGGCUGCGCGCCUCGUAUGUCUUGAUGGGCGGGCGGUUGCGUGAUGGCAUCGGGCCGUCCUCGUCGGCGUCCAGGGACGAGGCCGCGCAGGACGACAGGGACGGGGACGGCAAGGUCGCGGACGAGCUGUUUAUCCAAGGCAAGGGUGGUCUUCUCCUCCUGAAUAAACAUGCGGUCUAUCAUCACCAUCUCCGCUGAGGGGCUCACUCGCUGGGAGAAGAAAAGAUCCCCAAGUGAAAAGGCAAAGAGAUGACAGACGUGUCACCGCGCCCAGCCCCCCACUGUCCCUGCGAUGUGACCAUCUCCCUCCCGACCUCCUUUCCGGCAGAGGGGCCGGGUGGGAUGUGGGCCCUACCCGGGACUCCUCCAGGAGCAACAACCGGUACUUAUUGAGCAUGGCAUGGGUGCGUUUCAGCAGCUGUGUGGAGACCGUCUCAAACUCCUCGUCCACUGCCAGGAAGAGAAGGAGUGCAGGGCCAGGAUGUUGGGGGGCUGCACACUGCCCAUGCACCCCGAGCCGGGCAGGCAACUGCAGCACAGGGGCUCAGUGGUUUCCACGAGCUGAUGGCCCAGCCAGGGCCUUGGGGACAUGCGGGGAGGGAGGCCUCACCUUUGUGGUAGUCGCUAGGGGAAGGGAGGGCGCCCUGGUAGACGUGGUAGGGCAGGAGGCGGUGCAGGGCGUCCUCGAAGGAGGGGAAGGCUGUCUUGUAGUCGGGGUGGAGGACGGAGCCCUGGUGUUUGUGCAAAUGCUCCAGAAAGCUGCGGGUGGGGUGGGGCGAGACCACAGGCAGGCGGGGGUGAGGCCCGGGGAAGCUGUCCCCCACCCCAGCCCCAGCCAGACACUCGAUGGGGACUGCAGUGCGGGCUAUCAUGACUCCCACUUCACCGAAGAGGAAACUGAGGCCCGGAAAGGAUCCUCCUUGAUUUCCUUCAACUUUUCCUCAGCCUCUUGAGGGCUGGGAUUCAGGCAUGCGCCACCACGCCUGGGUCCCCAGUCUUCUCCAGGAAGGAAACAAGUGCACUCUGGUGAAAGCACGCUGCCUCCAGCAGUGCAGCUGGGCAUGCGCAGAGAGGGUCUCCCAGAGGGGCGCAAGGUGGGGUGCAAGGGAGGCGCUGCCACUCACCAGGCCUCCUUGCUGGGCUGCAGGGUGGGGGUUUUCUUCAGGCCGCUCAGCUUGCCCUCAUACUGGGGAGGAUGGGAGGAGACACGAGGCUGAGGCAGGCUCCACCCACCCACCAACCCGCAGGUCUCCCACACCCACAACCACAUUUUGCCCCACAUCACUUUGUGUUUUUCUUUUGCUCUGCCUUAGUGUCGCCCUCCACUCCCACGGCUGUCCGGGGACUCGCCCGCGCCGGCCUCCCUGUCCUGGGCCACUUCCUGUAGCACCGCCGCUUUCCCUCCUCCUGCCUGUGUCGGCUGCUGGUCUCCGAGUUUAAUCUCCAGCCCUGCCACUGGGUCCCGGCUGCCCGUCCCAGCCCUGCCCGAGGGCCUUACCUGCAGC